GACCCAGUGUUUCUAGAAGAUCAGGAUCAGUAGAUAAAUGAUGCACCAUGAGUACACGAUCUUGAUCCUGAAAAACUAACAUAUUUAACUUACGAUGGGUACGAGACUGUUUCUCACCCAUACCAAGGGGCGGAACACACUCGUGGAUCGUACUGUUGGAUGGCAGGGGUGAGAAGAUCGCUGAGCUGGAAGGUCCAGCCACCAACCGCUGGCUGAUGGGACAGGAGGAGUGCCUGGAUAGGAUCAACAAGCUGGUGCAGGACGCCAAAGAGAUGUGUGGAGUCUCCCAAGAUACCGUGCUUGAGGGUCUGGUGAGUACACUUGGUGUUAAUUAUAACAAAAUUA